ACAGAGAGAGGACAGACCGAGAGAGGACAGACAGAGAGAGAAAGAGAGGACAGACAGAGAGAGGACAGACCGAGAGAGGACAGAGAAGACUGAGCGCGCUCAGAUCUGCUUCACCUUCAUCUCCUCUCCAACAGAACCUUUCUGAUCUCAUCAGAUCACAGUUUGAUUUAAAGUCAGAUUCUUCAUCACUCUGAAGAGGAGAUCUCAACACUUCAGGAGGACCAGGAGACCUGGAGA